UAGUCUAGCCCUAUACAUGCCACCAUCAAAAAUAUAAAUCCAACUAUACCGGGUAUUGCGGCCGAUAGUGUGAUCGAUAUCUCUGACUUUAAGGGAUCCUUAAGUUAGCUUGAUAACACUGAAAGAAGAGGGAAAGGAAAUAGGGUAAGCGUAAAGCUUAGUAACUUGCAUAUAAAUAAAUAUACAACAACAAUCUCACCAUUAGUCAUCAUACUUAUAGCUCAAAGGUAAACAUAAUUUAACUUACUCAUUAUCAUCUACUCGAGUCACAUUCUCUAAAUUAAGCUCGUUACUCAUGCUUACCAUAUAGGUACCUGUACCACUCACAACAUGAUUAUUCUUUCUUUAUCAAAAUUGAUCUACAACUCUCAUCAUUGAAAUGUUUGGAAUACUACUGGAUAUUCUAUUAACCUUCAACAUGGGAUAUAUUGCCGAUGCCAUGUCCCAGACAUGGUCUUACACUGGCUCUCAUAUACGCGUGCUGUUGCAUGUCCCAAACAUGUCUUACACUAGCAAAACUCUUAGCCGAUGCGUGCCCCAGACACGUCUUACACUGGCUAUCUCUGUUGAGGCCAAUGCAUGUCCUAGACAUGUCUUACAUUGGCAGUCAUCUCUGUGCCGAUGCCAUGUCCCAGACAUGGUCUUACACUAGCUAUCAUGGUAUGGCUGAUGCAUGUCCCAGACAUGUCUUACACUAGCCCUCGUCUGGAUGCCGAUGCUAUCUCCCAAACAUGGUCUUACACUGGCUCUCAUAAUGUGGCCGAAGCAUGUCCCAAACACGUCUUACACUGGCGCACAAAUCACCCAAUGCAUAUCUAGUUCGUAUUCUAAUGUUUCAACGGGAUAUUUCUAUUAUCUCAAUUAUUACUAGGCAUUCUCAAUUCAUAACUUGACAACUCAUACAAUAUCAAUUCAAUGGUGAUAUGAAUACAAGUAUUAACAGUGUAUUUGUAUCAUUUACAUACAACUUACCUCGGUUCACAAAAACUACUCGACUAUUCGGUUUAGUCGGUUUGCUUGGCCUCCCCCCGAUCUAGGUUCGGAUUUGGUAAUUCUUGAUCUAUAAUGACAAUAUGCACUCAUUUAGUCACUAAUUAGGAUUAAGCAAUCAUAAAUUUACAUCUUUGGUAAAAUGACUAUUUUGCCCUUAGACUUUGGCAAAAUAACCAUUUUACCCCUAUGCCCGGAAAUUGAUUUUCAUCAAAUUUCAUUAUAUCUCAGGCCUAACCGAACUAUUUUUGCUAUUAUAGCAACUUCAAAUAAUCACUAUUUCACAUACUUAUUAACUAUUUUACAACUUAUGCAAAAUAGCCCAUUUUAGGUGUUUUCAUGCUAACACCUUUUUCAAAAGUUGUCCAUAACACAAAUAGGACUCUUAUUCCUCGAUAAAAACUCAAUAAACAUCACAAAUCCUUUCAUGGCAACACUCUAAACUCUUGACCAUUUUGCAAGAUAUCACCCUCAUUUGAAAACUCGUGCUUCAAGGGUCUCAAAAAUGCAAAAAUCAUCAACAAAGGGUGUAAGAAUCACUUACUUGAGAGGGCUUUUAGUUGCUGAAAAUUUUCAGCCUUCAAAACUCCAUUUUUACUGAUAUUUUCGGUGGAGAAGAGAGAUGGAGAAGAAAGAAAUGAUAGCUAGGCUUUUAGGCAUUAUUUAAUCACUAAAUCAUGACAUCAUCCACCUAACACUUUGACUAUUUGCU
rnacentral:lncRNA from 1 species